ACUAGCGAAACGGCCAAACGGAUAAUGGAAACUGGAAAGCGAUGCCUUCGGCUUAUCUUCCUGAUCUAUCCGGACUCCGGAGGGUAUUUUCGGUAAAUGAACAGUGAGCGCAAACUAACAAUUGGUUUCAGUGAAAACAUACUCGGUACUGACUUGGUUCUUCUGUUCUUUCUAUGCUAUACUGUUGUUUUCCUUAAUCUGCUGAUAACAGAUUCCAUUAGGUCAUCAAAGUGGAUGACCGCUUACUUGCUUGUAGUUUUCUGAAGAUUUUCAUUUUUUUCAGUUUCUUCUUGUUAUUGAAUCUUUCUUCAAUUUUCGAAGCUUCAGGAAUCAACUGCUUUGCCUCGGUUUGAUUAAUCUGUUGCCUGGGUCCCUGGUAGACUUCUUCCUGUCCUUAGAGGUCUAUACUCACUUUCAAUGGCUGCUUUUGUUUGAUUGCCCUUCUGCUAUCCUAUUUAUGUGAUUAUCUGGCAAUGGAAGAAAAGAAUCCUAAAAACCGAGGUUUUCUGGAUUAAGAAUUUAUGACUGGUACUUCUUCUUUGUGUCUAACAUUUCAUUUAGAAAUUGGGUGGUAUACGAAUAUAGACUGUGAUCUUCAUGCAUAAUGAAGUGGGGCCUCUGGCAAUUUCUCCCAUAAUUUGAAAAUUUUGAAGUACUAAUUGGAAUUUUUUUUUUCUUUAGAAAUAUCAUUUUUAACUGACUUUGUUUGGUAGUGUUUAUUUGUAUCGAAGAACAGUGGCUGAAUAGUAUUUGAGGAUGCUAUGAAGGGUCUCACUAUGUUUUGUAUGUUAGGAAACCCAAUGCUGCUUUUGUUUAAGAGAUGGAAUGUACUUUAAGGCUACAUUCAAUAUUGGCUUAUUGAAUUAGAAGCUUCCAUGCUGGAGAUGAGGGUGUACUUUUCCUAUUAUGUGUUGUAUUUCCUCCAUUCUUCCUUGAAUUAACUUAUCUUAUUAUAUUUAACAGGAAUCACCAUGCGGUUGUCUGACUCUAGUGUCUUAACAUAGCAUUUGAAAGGAAAACUGGUAAUUCAAGAACCAAUAAUAUGUCACCUAAUAUUCUGAAUAAAAAUUUUGCUAUAGAAAGGAAGGAAGCCCAUAUACGCACUAAAUGUCUGUCAUCCUUGAUAAUGGCCUCUAUUUACCUGACCCAUUCCUACAAUCACACAUUAUGGCAACUGAAAAAUGAAUUCAUCAACUUUACAAGAGAUUGAAGUCUGAGUUGUUGUUGUUACGUAUUUCUAUCC